GGAGAGGUGGCAGAGUUGGUCGAUUGCGUCUGACUUGAAAUCAGAUGAGCCCUCACGGGCUCCGGAGGUUCGAAUCCUCUCCUCUCCG
rnacentral:tRNA from 2 species